GCGUCUGUAGCCUAGUUGGUAAAGGCAGCACUCUAGUAUGUGUCUCAGCUCAGCUGAGGUCGUGAGUUCGACUCUCACCAGACACA
rnacentral:tRNA from 1 species